rnacentral:rRNA from 1 species
UACCAGCACCCCGAGUGGUCGGGACGAUUAUUGGGCGUAAAGAGCUCGUAGGCGGUUUGUUGCGUCGGCUGUGAAAUCCCGAGGCUCAACCUCGGGUCUGCAGUCGAUACGAGCAAACUAGAGUGUUGCAGGGGAGACUGGAAUUCCUGGUGUAGCGGUGAAAUGCGCAGAUAUCAGGAGGAACACCGGUGGCGAAGGCGGGUCUCUGGGCAACAACUGACGCUGAGGAGCGAAAGCGUGGGGAGCGAACAGG